rnacentral:rRNA from 1 species
UCCGGACUGGCUCGGAGAGGUUGGCAACGACCACUCCGAGCCGGAAAGUUCGUCAAACUCGGUCAUUUAGAGGAAGUAAAAGUCGUAACAAGGUUUCCGUAGGUGAACCUGCGGAAGGAUCAUUACCUAGAGUUGUAGGCUUUGCCUGCUAUCUCUUACCCAUGUCUUUUGAGUACUUACGUUUCCUCGGCGGGUCCGCCCGCCGAUUGGACAAUUUAAACCAUUUGCAGUUGCAAUCAGCGUUUGAAAAACUUCAAUAGUUACAACUUUCAACAACGGAUCUCUUGGUUCUGGCAUCGAUGAAGAACGCAGCGAAAUGCGAUAAGUAGUGUGAAUUGCAGAAUUCAGUGAAUCAUCGAAUCUUUGAACGCACAUUGCGCCCCUUGGUAUUCCAUGGGGCAUGCCUGUUCGAGCGUCAUUUGUACCUUCAAGCUUUGCUUGGUGUUGGGUGUUUGUCUCGCCUCUGCGUGUAGACUCGCCUCAAAACAAUUGGCAGCCGGCGUAUUGAUUUCGGAGCGCAGUACAUCUCGCGCUUUGCACUCAUAACGACGACGUCCAAAAGUACAUUUUUACACUCUUGACCUCGGAUCAGGUAGGGAUACCCGCUGAACUUAAGCAUAUCAAUAAGCGGAGGAAAAGAAACCAACAGGGAUUGCCCUAGUAACGGCGAGUGAAGCGGCAACAGCUCAAAUUUGAAAUCUGGCGUCUUCGGCGUCCGAGUUGUAAUUUGCAGAGGGCGCUUUGGCAUCGGCAGCGGUCCAAGUUCCUUGGAACAGGACG